CAACCGCCGGUGAAUCCCAUUAUCUCUCUCGCCGUAUGUAGAUGUAGAAGACGAGAACAUAUUAUCGAGUUGGAUUUUAGGGCUAGAAAGCGACUCCAACAAUGGUGGUGGCUUCAGGAAACAAUUCAUUUUCCAAAGAGAUGGCCAUCAGAAAACCUAUAAUAAAAGAGGAGAAUUUUCCAUCAUUGCGUGAAUAAAAUGGUGCUUGUGAUUUCGAUGCCAAUAGAUAAAUUUGGCCAAGUUCUGCGUGUCGUUGGACAUCGCUUUUGGUCAAGCAGUUUGCUUCGUUCUGUUUCAGAAACAAAAGAGGAAAUUGAAACAAUUGCUAGAAUCAUCAAUGACCACCCUUUUCCUGUCCAGCCUCUGCAACCAACGCUUAAACAUCAUAUCUCACCGAGUAUCCUGUCAACCACGUUUGUUGAAAAUGUCAUCGGUCACCUAUUUGCAGCACAUGCAAAUGGUCUUAAAGCAUAUGAAUUUUUUGAGUUCUGUCUCCGCCAUUCUGAGUAUAGUCCAACCUCUGAUGCAUUUGAGAAGACACUUCACGUACUAGCAAGAAUGCGUUACUUUGACAAGAGUUGGGAACUAAUGAAGAAAAUUCAACAGCUACAACCGUCUUUGCUCACCCUUAAGUCAUUAAGCAUCAUGCUAUCAAGAAUAGCAAAAUAUCAGUCCUAUGAAGAUACCCUUGAAGCAUUUGAGAAGAUGGAGCAGCAUUUAUUCUCCGGGAAGAAAUUUGGCACCGAAGAGUUCAAUAUUCUUCUUCGAGCAUUUUGCACACAGAGGAAAAUGAAAGAAGCUCGUUCAGUAUUCAACAAACUCCAUUCUAGGUUCCCACCUGAUACCAAGACAAUGAAUAUCUUGCUUUUGGGGUUCAAGGAAUCAGGGGAUAUUACUGCUGUAGAGUUAUUUUACCAUGAGAUGGUUAAAAGAGGUUUUAAGCUUAAUUCUGUAACAUACAGUAUAAGGAUUGAUGCAUACUGCAAGAAAGGUCGCCUUGGUGAUGCUUUGAAGCUACUUGAAGAAAUGGAUAGGGUAAACUGCUCGCCUACAGUAGAAACGAUAACAACUUUGAUUCAUGGAGCAGGGAUUGCUCGUAAUAUAAGUAAAGCUAAAGAACUCUUCAAUGAAAUCUUCGAGAGAAAUUUGCAACCAGACACUGGAGCCUUUAAUGCCCUCUUGAGUUCUCUUAUCAAAUCUAGGGAUGUCAAAUCUGCAGCAGUCUUAAUGGAUGAGAUGGAGGAGAAAAAUAUUGAGUUUGACCAUUUAACUUACCACACUAUGUUCUGGGGAUUGAUAGGAUCAAAUGAUGUUGGUGGUGUCGUUGAUCUUUACGAAAGGAUGGCCGACAAAAAUUUCUUGCCUAAGGCACGUACUGUUGUGAUGCUGAUGAAAUUCUUCUGUGAAAGCCAGAGAGUUGAUCUGGGUUUGAGUUUAUGGAAUUACCUGAUGAAUAAAGGGCACUGUCCACACUGCCAUUCUUUGGAAAUUCUGGUCACGGGAUUGUGCUCCCGUGGAAGAGUUGAAGAAGCAUUUGACUGCUCUGAGGAAAUGUUGAAGAGGGGUAGGCACAUGAGCGAGCCAGUGUUUCAGAUGUUGAAGAGAUCUCUCUUACAGCUAGGAGAGGAGGAAAAGUUACAGAAGCUCUACCAAACGACAAAGAGAUUAGAAAUGAUAUUGCCUCCUUAUGGAUAAACUAUUGGCAAAGCCUAGAGCAGAUCUGUAAGUAAGAUUUAUUGGAGAAAUUCUAUAGUUGUUAUUUUGCAGGAAUGCUAAAAGAUCAUUUUAAGUAUGGUUUGAACAUCAAUUUGAAGGGGUUUGAUCCCUAUUUUAUGCCCAAUAUUUCUGACGACCUGGUUCCUCUGUUGAUUUGUAAAAGCUUAUUUCCCACUUUGUUUAUGUAGAAACAAAACAAAUGUUAGGCUGAAGCUCUCGUGUUUUACAGUGGAAAUAUGUUGAUUGUUACUCUACUUUGUUGAAGGAAGAGAGGGAAGACAACAUACUAUGCUCCCAUUUGUGGGUGUGGGUGACUCCUAGAUAUCUGCUAGAUGAUGGAAUAUAUUUGUGUGUGCCAUGCCUCAUCCUUUAUAUUUCUAUUUUUUUUUCCUGCUUUCUUGGACCCAUUUUCAUAUUCUACUCCUGCUGUCUUACUUUGCAUAAUCUAUUGGUUGGGAAAGGGAGAAAUAAACUAUUUUCACUAUCCCAAAUUGUUUCGUUACUUGCUAUUUGCGGAAUAAAUAAAAUAUCAAAUCAAGAAACCAUCGUUUCAGUCCCAAAUUCAAGUUUUCCUCAACUCCUGUUUCUAUUGAAACAGAAAUCAAGAACCUCUCUUCAAAUUUUCUGAAACCUGCCACUAGGGACUUCCAAGAAGUUCAUGGUUUGUUUAAGAAUCUCUGCAGCUGAAAGAGCACUAAUGUGGCAUCGCUGGUGCAUUCAUAUAUGGGUGUCUUCACCCACUUGACUCUAUCAAAACUAAGCCGCAAAUUAAGGGGCAUCUGAGAUUUACAGUGGAACAAUUGAUGUUAUUGUCUAGACUUUUCAAAGCAAAGGGAGUCUAGGAUUUCACGGUGGUGUUUCUGCUGUAAUUGUUGGGUCCACUGCUUCCUCUGCUUUGUAUUUUGGGACUUGUCAGUUUGCCAAGUCAAUCUUCUCCAAAUUUCCACCGGACCCUUCUAUGCUUAUUCCACCAACAGCUGGUGCAAUGGGAGUAUAGUGUCAUCUGCUAUAUUGGUGCUGAAGGAAAUGAUUACUCAUAGGAUUCAGUCUGGGGCUAAAGGGAGGUCUUGGCACAUAUUGAUGAGAAUCUUGGGAAACAAUGGAACGUUGGAGUUGUAUGCUGGUUAUAGUGCUGCAUUGUUGAGGAAUUUUCCUACUGGGGCCUUGAGUUAUUCAUUGUUUGAUUCCUUGAAGGCGAAAGAUAAAAAGGGAGCAUUUGGAGCCAUUUUAGAGUGUUUGUUGUGGGGCACUGGCUAGUGCAGUAUCAGCUUCACUAAAAACCCUUUUGUAUGUGAUGAAGACUAGAUCGAUGAUUCAAUUUGAUUCUGAAGCUUCCAAUAAGGUCGCCACUGCUAUGGUUACUGGCAUCUCGUCUACUGUUAGACAGAUAAUGAAAGAAGAAGAGUGAAUUAGUUUUACAAGGAGAAUGGGUCCUAGAGUACUUUAUAGCGCUUGUUUUCCAGCUCUGGGGGUACUUUGCAUUUGAAACAGCUAGGGGUACACUUCUGGAUCAGUAUCUGAAGCAUAAGGAGCUAGAGACUUCGGUUCCCGCAGAUGCAUCCCAGGUCAAUUAGAGUGUCUAAAUAUGGUUCUUAAAUUCAGUUAUUAAACUUUUGGUAAGUGCUCUUCUUUCUUAUUGUUUUCCAAUCAUAUCUCUGUAGUUAGUGUCUUCACAAGUUGGAACCUUUCAAAUUGGCUUACAAGAAUGUCUCUGGAUUCAGUUUGCUAAUAUUAGACGGAUAUGUACAUCUACUUGCCUGCUUCUUUUCUCUUUCGUACGUAAGACAAACAAUUGGAUGAAGUUUAGUGAACUUCUGGUGGGGAAGCAGCAAAAUUUUUACUAAUUAGAUCUUAUAUAGUCCAUUUAUUUUCAGAAAUCAACUAAAUCAAAACUAAACGAGUGCUUGUCUUGUAAUUAUGUAUGACACUUAGGUAAUAGUCUAGUAUCUGUUUACUUGAUUGAAAUUAUGAGAACAUCAAUCUACUGUUGGGUAAUUAAUGUAUGCGUAAUGAAGUAGCGCAAGAGAAUGCCUUAGUUUGUAGCUUCUCAUUUAUAGCUUUAAGGAUAACAAAAAUGAACCACAAAAGAUGGAACAGAUAGCAGUAGGGUAACCCAAUGAAAACAUGGAUAUGAAUACUAUUGGUUGGCUUGCUAGUUGACAGAAUGAUUGUGUCACAUACUUCAGAAGAAGUAAGAAAAUUUCUCAGCUAGCAGGUUUUUUUUCUCUAUUUCCUUGCUUUUCUUUCAUUGAGUGGAAUACAAUGGAUUAUAAAGUAGCCUUACUGUUGACUACAAUGACUGUUUAGUAGUGAGUUGUUGUAGCCAAGUCCUGCCUAGAAGGAUGCACGUCUUCCUGGUUGACCUUUGAAUCUGCAAUGUGGUGAGCAUAUGCAUUCAUUUUGUAUUAGCAUGGUCCUGAAUUAGUAAUACACUUAAUCGUCUUUACUUCCUAUAUUGCCCUACUCUGUUAUUUUUAAUGCAAAGACUAGUUUUGUAAGUCAAGUUACCUGAAUGACAUUUGAAAUUUGUCUUUUGAUCAUCGCCAGUACUUUAGAAGAUGUCCUUAAAACAAUGCUAUUUGCUGUCUGUUUGCUAGAUUUAUCCUGCAUAUCACAUCAAGUCAUAUAGCAUCUUCAGUCAUGAAAUGGAAUGCAUAGAAUUCCUCCAAAAGCAGCAGGUACUGAGCAUCCCUUUAAGCAACCAUCUAAUGAACUUGUAAAGCUGAUCAAUAGUUAAAAAUAAAAGAAAAGAACUGCUAAUGUCAGCCGAGAAAACACCUUGAAUUCCAUUUAAGGAUGUUAUUUGGGGGAAUCUUUCUCCACGUUGUACUUUCCACAAUUCCCUGCUCGCAUAUAUUUUGGUGUGUAGUCAGCUCAGAGUUGUACUUUUUAUCCAUCAUCAAUUUCUAGUCUAGGUCCACAUUGGUUCAAUGUGAUAGUUGGAAAGAGGAUAUCCUACAAAUAUUUCCCCACCUGGGCAGUCCCUAUUUGAUCAAUCUGAUACACACAAUUGCUAAAGCGGUAUUGACUGUCAACCUUGCUGUUGUUUCCAAUGUUGGGUUCUUCAUACCAGUCUUGAACCCUUGACCUAGUGGAAGACCUUGAAAUCAAUAAGCAUUUACUCUACCACUUGUAAUCAACACUCUCCUGUUAACAACUUUUAUGGGACUGAAGGUGCAAGUGCCUGAUGUUUGGAGAUCAGAAAAGCCUUUGUUAACAUAGUCAGAUUUGUAGCCCGUUAGGUUGUUUUGCGCCUGACCUUUAGAGGACAAUUUGGAAGGAGAGGCCGCAAGAUAUUUUCUCUGCUGGACAUCUGGACUAUUACAAGUUACCUUGGGGAAUGCUAGACAUUACGUUUUAGUAUGAUUAGAAGUGCAUUGUUAUCUGGUUGUGCAUACUACAAUUUCAUCUUAAUGCUAUCUUUUGAAUAAAAUCACUUUAUUGAUUCAAAAAAGAAAAAAAUGUGAAAGUACUCUUUUAAGAAUAUGCAGCAGCCUUGGCAGCAAGCAAGGGACAGCCUACACAGUCCGAUGGAGAUAUGCAUUGGUAGAAGCACUGGGCUUGUUUGGGAUUUCUCUUCAUCAAUCUUCAUCCUGCAAGAUAAUUUCUUUUAUCUGGCUCUGUUGCCAUAACAGACUCUCCACGGCUCGUUUGGAAUUGCAGAAAAUGCUCAUGGUUUCUUUGCAAUGCCAAUAAUGAGACGAUUGGCUAUGUUCUAAUGGAUUGCACAUAAGUUAUGGCUCAAUCUUGCAAUGUCCUAGCUACAACCAUCAAAUGGCACUAGUGCUAGCUGUAGAACUUUUUAUUUUGCUUCUAUGGAUUAUCCAUCGGGCGAGUUACAGGUUUAAAUAAAUUUCUUGCCAAAAUUUGAUAUGAACUCACAAAAUUCAUAAUAAAUAGCAAAAAAGCAUUAACAAUUAAA